rnacentral:rRNA from 1 species
AUACAUGCAAGUCGAACGAGUUCUCGUUGAUGAUCGGUGCUUGCACCGAGAUUCAACAUGGAACGAGUGGCGGACGGGUGAGUAACACGUGGGUAACCUGCCCUUAAGUGGGGGAUAACAUUUGGAAACAGAUGCUAAUACCGCAUAGAUCCAAGAACCGCAUGGUUCUUGGCUGAAAGAUGGCGUAAGCUAUCGCUUUUGGAUGGACCCGCGGCGUAUUAGCUAGUUGGUGAGGUAAUGGCUCACCAAGGCGAUGAUACGUAGCCGAACUGAGAGGUUGAUCGGCCACAUUGGGACUGAGACACGGCCCAAACUCCUACGGGAGGCAGCAGUAGGGAAUCUUCCACAAUGGACGCAAGUCUGAUGGAGCAACGCCGCGUGAGUGAAGAAGGCUUUCGGGUCGUAAAACUCUGUUGUUGGAGAAGAAUGGUCGGCAGAGUAACUGUUGCCGGCGUGACGGUAUCCAACCAGAAAGCCACGGCUAACUACGUGCCAGCAGCCGCGGUAAUACGUAGGUGGCAAGCGUUAUCCGGAUUUAUUGGGCGUAAAGCGAGCGCAGGCGGUUUUUUAAGUCUGAUGUGAAAGCCCUCGGCUUAACCGAGGAAGCGCAUCGGAAACUGGGAAACUUGAGUGCAGAAGAGGACAGUGGAACUCCAUGUGUAGCGGUGAAAUGCGUAGAUAUAUGGAAGAACACCAGUGGCGAAGGCGGCUGUCUGGUCUGUAACUGACGCUGAGGCUCGAAAGCAU